rnacentral:misc_RNA from 1 species
AGAAAAAAGUUGAAACUAAUAGCAGGGAUUCUAGCAAAACACAGUCAGAUUCUGCUCGAGCCAGACAGGAAGAAGUAGAGGAAAUAUCAUCUGAAGGGACAGUCUCUGAUCAUCAGGAGGAUGACCGUGAACCAUAGCUCUUCCUUAUGGGGAGCUAAUUGUUGUAAUCAUCUCUUGAAGUGUAACUAAAGCCUCUGACCCUCCAUUGUUCUCAGUUUUUGUAGGGCAGGAUGCAGUUAAAGUAGCAAAUACAGUACAGGUUAGACAAGUUACUAUGUAAAGCUUGUGUAAGAGAAAAGAAAAACAUAGAAGUUAGCAUAUAAUAUUGUUCGUCGUCCUUAGAGUCGGAGGUGUUGACCUCGUAG